rnacentral:rRNA from 1 species
CGCUAAAGUGCGCUUGCUAAAAAAGAACGUAGCUCAUGGAAUAGGAAAGGGGAGCUCGUGACGGAGUGGGUGAGGGGAUUCAGAUCGGGGGGCCGCUAAUGUCGCCGCUCAGGAAGGCCGCUAACCUCGUCGUCGCUCACCGCGCCCUCACGCCGCCUCUCCUACGCCCUCCCGACGCAGGCACGCUAUCCCGCUGUGUACGGCCCGUGGUGCGGCGCGGACGCCCUCCUCCACCGCCGCUCCUACGCCGGCCGCCCUCCCUCGAGGAGGACGUGCAGGUCCCGCGGCAGGCCGUGGUGCUCACGCGCAUCCGGCGUAGGCCCUCACGCUCUUCGCACCGCGACGGCCAGCGCGGGCGGUGACUGUAGGACGGCGGCGCCGCACCAGCCGCCCCUGGGCAAGCGCCGCAGCGAAACAGCCCAGCGCGCUCAUGCCGCCGCUCCUACACCUACCGACGUAGCCCGCCGAUGCAUCGGCCAUCUAUACCUCCGCCGGCGCCGUGAGCUCUUCUCCCUCGCCGAUCACUAACCCGGUUCCAGACCCAGGAGGGCAGCAGCGUGUGCCAGCGACUCCUCUCAGCUGCCGAUACCUCCUGCAGCUCACCGCCACCGUCGGCGAGGGCGAAGACGAGGCUCACAUAGUUACCGCAGCAGGCGGCAGCUGGGGAGGUAAACCCCGAACGAGCUCCCCGCCUCGGUCCUAAACUCAUACUCCCUCGCUUCUCCGGUUAUGGUUCGUUAGCAUAUAUUUUGUAUAUAUUUUCCUUAUUCCGGACGUCCCGGACCACGCACCCAACAAGCCCGACCCCGCAAGAGGAGGGCUUAACUCAACAAGCUAGCUACGGGGAGAACAGGGCUUGCAAGCCUGACCCUCGUGGGGCCUGGCUUGCCAGCCCUCAAUAGCUGCAGGUUUUCUUUUGGUAAAAUAUAGACGUUGGUUGUUUUGUACAAACUACGUGAUGCUCGCGCUAUGUUUACCCUCCAUUGGACGUGUUGUUGGGUAUGUUGUAAUCUUUUGAAUGUGAUACUCUACAAACUAGAUGAACAGUACUACUGUUUUCUAUAUAAAGGAUGAGGCAACAGUUAAGGCGAAACGUUCCGAUAGACAUCGUUUACUUUUUGUUAAUGCUCUUUCCAAAUCCAACGAACCAUGGGCGACCAAAAAUACCUACAAAUUCUCCAAUCAUAGUGUUGUGUUUGAGUAUUAAGAGUACAUUAAUGGUACACUGUGUACACCAUUCAUUAAGUUUGUUAAGAUUUUUUUUCAAACUUGUUACCUGUAACUUCUUACUAGUUACUCGCUUAAUUUGCGUUGAGCCUACCAAUCUAAAGAACACUACCUUGGUUGGGUAGUUUCAAGUACAGAAUCUGAACCGUGACUAUCAACACAAAAGACCUAAAUAAAGGCCGGAAGGCCGCUACACGCAAGUCACCCUCCUCUCCAAGGACAGCUGAUGCUUACGCAAGCACCACUGAAGCAGUUAGAAUUUUACAACACAACUGACUCAUAGAGCCUCUACGAGUAUCCCUAUCUGACACCCACGCGUGCAAUUAUCUUAACGCCCAUACAUGCGCAUACAUUCAUAGACGUAAACAUGUCACAAUUUUUUACUAGUUGUUACCUGUAGUUGUGCAUGCCAACAUUUUUUUCACGUUUUUUUCACGUCAAAUCGCUUUACGACCAAGUACGUUUCUAACGGAGGUUAAAGGUACCCUAGUUGGCUGGUUUUCAUCAUGAUCAGAUGUUCUGCUUCUUUUCUUCAAUUCUUUUCUGACGAGGAGUACUAGGACAACUGCCCUCGUUGUUUGUUUGAUUGGCCGUGCCCUCUCUAGGCGCCGAGGCACAGGGCUAAGAGGACGCUCAGGACAGGGCGCGGUUCGGCGAGUUGGUCGCUUGGCGGACGACUGGGGUGUAGGGCGAGCGGGGGCUGCACGCCCCUAGUGGGGCGCAAGGGGUUUGAGCACACGUACCGCGCGGUGCAUGCGGGUAGCGCGUUUGUGUCGCGGAUUUUGGGCGCGGGUUUGAUUACCACCGUGAUGGUCGAAUCUAGCUAGGUGGGUAGGUAGCCGGCUAGCCGUACCGCCCCCACCCUCCGGCCUCGAGCGCGCGGCGGCCGUUCGCGCCCCCGCCCCGCCGCAGCAGCAGGCGCCGGCGCAGCCGCACGCAGAUGAUGCGGUGGUGCCCCCACGAGCACCGCGAGACGCAGCGGCCCCGGAUGAACGAGUGCAGCUGGAGCAGGCGCAGGUAGCGGCCCGGCCUGCUGCCCCUGUUCCGCCGGCGGCAGUGCCGCAUGGCGGUGUGGUGCGCGAGCAGCAAGCGCAUGCUCCACUGGUCCCUCUUCCGCGGCGGCAGCGGCGGCGCGCUCGGGCUCCGGCUCCUGCCCUGCGACCCGUUCCUCCUGCGACCGAGGCUCCUCCUACCGCCGCGGCUAGUCCUCGCGCCGUCGCGGCAGCGGCGCCGCCGGCACCUGCUGGGCGUACGGUUCGGGCUAGACCUGCUCGCACAGAGGCCGCCGCUCCUGAGGUUCUCGCUGCGCCGCCGCCACCUGCUCCUGGUCUCGUUGCUCGCGCAGGCGCAGCGGCGGUCGCUCCGGUGGCGGCUCCUCCUCCUCCUGCGGUGCCGCCGCUGCCCGCGCCUGUUCCUCGUUCUUUGCGACCUGUUGCUAGUCCUUCUUCUCGUCGUCAGCGUAGACGUCUACGGCGCGCGGUGCCACCUCCUCUCCUUGGACCUGCCGCCGUAGCUCCUCCUCUCGUAGCGCGCCGUCGCCGUCUCGCUGCUCCUCCUCGCAUACUCGCGGCCGCUGCUCGUCGGGCCGUGCCCGUAGGAGGCGGCGCUCCGCGUCCUCCUGCUCCGCCGCCUCGCCGUCAGCCUACUCCUAUCUGGGCUAGUCCUCGUCUGUCUCCUCCUGGCAUCGUCGCUAGUUUGCGACCAGCUCCUCCUGCCCGCGUGCAACCACCUCCAUCUCAGGCUGGGGCCCGUUCUUCUGCCGCCGCCCCUGCUGUUCCGUCGACGGCUCAGGCUCGUGUUCCUCCUGUGCCUGCCGUCGCCGCGGCCGAGCCACUUGGUGUUGCAGCAGCUAUGCGACGUUCCGCUCCCGAGCCGGCAGCCGCGGCUUCCUCUGGUCUCGCGCACCCGUUGUGUCGCGCUAGUCAGCGUGGCCCUCUUCCUGGCCGCCGUCCUUCUGCGCCCGCUGCCGUUGUCGUGCCUGCCGCUCCUCGUCGUGCUCACCGCCUGCACGUUGCAGUUCCGGCCGCGGCUGAUGUAGGGCACGGACCUGUUGCUCUUCCGGCAGUUCUUCGACGCCGGCCUCUUGAAGGCCGCGAUGCUCGUGGCGCUCGCGGUGACGGGGCUGCUCCCGGGCUGCACGGAGCAGCGCGAGGGUUCACCGAUGGCGGCGGGGCAGCUCACCGGUUUCUCGGCGCUGUCCUAAACCGACUCGUUACACGGCGUGUGCUUCGACCAGGUCCACUUCCCCGUGGUCUUGACCCACUUCCACUCGCCCGUCAUGGACGAGAAGGGGCCGCCGCCGUGCGUCAAGUAGGUGCCGCGCGACGUGAUGUAGCUGAAGGACGUCGUCAGCCACGCGCCGCAGCGCACCCCCUUCGCGUGCGCCCACCACGACCUGCACCCCACGCCGCACCGGUCGAAGCCCCCGAUGGACAAGCUCGCCCUGCACCACUGGUACAGCAAGCGCGGGUUCCUGCUCGUGCUCCGCGUCCACGUCUACCGCGACCUCGCGCCGUAGGGCCGGUAGAGGCGGCAGUACCCGAGGUUCGCGGACGGGAAGGGGUCGUUCCGGAAGCUGGAGCAGGUGACGCGCGCGACGGCACAGGGGACCGUGCGGCUGCCGCCGCGGGAGGAGGAGCUCGAGUUGGCGCAGGAGGCGGGGCCGCCGGAGAAGCAGACCAGGCGGUGCGGGCAGAUGGUCUUCGAGUGGCUGCUGCAGCUCUAGACCUUUCGUUACUGCCGAGACUGCUUUAGGUACACGACCCUCGACCACUGCUAGUUCUUUCUGGCCGAGUUGCCGCAGCCGCGGCGGAAAAUGGCCUUCGGCUGCAGGUUGCUCACGAUGCUCUCGUCCCCCGCCGUCGUCGGAGGGUACACGUCGCUGCUGCUGCUGCGGUUGCGGCGCACCAUGCAGGCGGACUUGCGGACGUAGGUGGCCCACGGCUGGCCGCGCCGCCUCGCGCCCCGGUCCACCGGCCGCCUGACCGGCGCCGCCCACGCGCGCGGCGGGUUGACCGAGUUGUGGAGCGUCCAGCCCCACAUGCCCUUCCGCCGCGGCCUCCUGAAGCACCGCCUGAUGGUCGUGACCUCCGCGCAGUACCUGUUCAGCAUGGAGUUGCCCGACCCGCAGCUGACCAGGUCCCACUCCUUGCAGUACCUGUACUCUCGGCGGAUGCCUCCCAAGCGGCGCCGCGACUCCCUGGUCUUCCAGACCCACUACUUGCAGCAGUUGCAGCUGCGCGGCCUGUGCGACGGGUAGUAGAAGCUGGCGCCCGACAAGCCGUACAUGGUACUGACCACGCUCAGGAAGUCGUGGAUGGGCUCCUGGAUGCUGGAAGACGUGCGGCUAGUGGAGAAGAGUUUCUAUUUCCUGUCCACGCGGCACAACGGCCAGCAGCAGCUCCACCUGUCCUAGCACUCCGGCCCUCCCUCGUAGUAGCACGCGCUGCUGAGGCCGGAGUAGCCGCUCCACCUCUUCGAGAACUCCAGCGAAGUGACCCUGCACUCCGAGUGGAAGAGGUUCUUGCUGUUGCCCCACGACAAGCGGCUCUUUAGCCUAACCGCCGGCCUCGACCAGCGGCUCGGUUGGAUUUAGUUCGGUAGAGGUAAGAGUACUAAUGUUCGUUAAAAGUGGGAGGUUUUCUAUCUAUCCCAAAAAAAAACAAGAAAAAAAAGUAAGAAAGAAACCAAUCGUAACUACAUCAUACGCCUUGAAUGAUUGAUGGGAAGUUUAUUCUGUACCAAAACAUUACGUCAUACAUAGAUUCUGAGUACGUAUCUUGACUCUGCUCACCUC